rnacentral:misc_RNA from 1 species
GGAAGAUGGAAAGGAAGAUCUGCAUGAGGAAGUUGGAAAGGAAGAUCUGCAUGAGG